CCUACGGGGGGCAGCAGUGAGGAAUAUUGGUCAAUGGGCGAAAGUCUGAACCAGCCAAGUAGCGUGAAGGAUGACUGCCCUAUGGGUUGUAAACUUCUUUUAUAAGGGAAUAAAGCGAGGCACGUGUGCCUUUUUGCAUGUACUUUAUGAAUAAGGAUCGGCUACCUCCGUGCCAGCAGCCGCGGUAAUACGGAGGAUCCGGGCGUUAUCCGGAUUUAUUGGGUUUAAAGGGAGCGUAGAUGGGUUGUUAAGUCAGUUGUGAAAUGUUCGGGCUCAACCCUAAAAUUGCAAUUGAUACUGGCAGUCUUGAGUACAGUGGAGGUAGGCGGAAUUCGUGGUGUAGCGGUGAAAUGCUUAGAUAUCACGAAGAACCCCGAUUGCGAAGGCAGCUUACUAAACUGUGACUGACACUGAUGCUCGAAAGCGUGGGUAUCAAACAGGAUUAGAUACCCCUGUAGUC
rnacentral:rRNA from 1 species